GAAAGGCAAGUUUCCCAAACUCUGACAGCAACACGGAACACCUGAGGCACGCUUACCCUCUAGUGGGGCCCAAGAAUCACGCCAAGCAGAUGAAGGAAGGGGCGGUGACGCAACUAGGCCUCCUGCAGCAGGGCCAGCCCAAGGCAGAGCGCGGCGGCCGUGACCCCGCAGCCGGCUCUCGGCGGCCGCCGCCUACGCCUCCCCCGGGGAUGACUCAGGUCAGGAGGAUUUGUGAGCUUGUUUUGGAGAAGAAAGAGAACGCCUUUGGGGAGGUUUCCAUCACCUGGAUGACCAGCAUCCAACUGCCAUUACUGCCCAGAAGUCAGAUUGCCCAUGGGAUACUGUGGAGUGAAAGAAACACGGAUGACCCCUUUGUUUCUCUGAAACUCCUCCCGCCAAGCCCUUUAGCUCUAUGAAACCCCCUGCUUUCUUCUCUUGUUAAGGUGGAUUUGAGAGAAC
rnacentral:lncRNA from 1 species